GACAAUGUUACCAAUUCAAGAAAGAAGCAUAUUGAUUCUAUAAUCUAUAACCUUUCCCAUUUUCUCUGUACAAACUGGUACUCCAACUCCACUAACACAAAUACCUCUUUCUAUCUCUAUCUAUCCGCUUUACAGUAUACAAUACUCCCCACUACUCUUCCUUGCUUUGGUUCUCUCCUUACGUCAUGCUUCGACUCCAAACCUCGUUAUCAAUCUAACCUUUCAGAUCUUAUGGGGUCUGAACAGAGACAUCACUCCACAUCUUAUAUUUAUGAACUCUUGUGCUGAUAAAUAGGCCAACAUCGAUAACGGUGGCCCCAUCUUGUGCUGAAAAAUAGGCCAAAAUCGAUAACGGUGGCCCCAUCACUAUUUGAUUCCUUAGAAAAGGCAUGCGACCUGUCUGCCGCAUUGGGGGUGUAGUUCUCUCAAAUAAUCAAUAAUCUAUGUUAGGAUAACUGUAGCCUGCCAUGAUCAUAAACCCCCCAUCAUCAUCUGUAAGACCUCCUUCAAAUACAAGAAUCCCAAUAUGUUCCUCCAUGAACACAAACUUGAUCUGCAAGGACUCUCAACAAUUCUUAAAGCAUUAGCUUCUCCUUGCUUGAAUAGACAACAAACAGUUUCAACUAUAAUUUAGGGAGCCCGAAAACUGGCGGUCGUGCAUAGUUCAAUUAGAAAGAAAUAUAAAUUUUUUUAUAGUGUAUCAUCCUCCAACUUUUAAACAACAUGUAUUCAUGAGAAACAACAAUGUUUUCCCUAAGAAUAAGAGAGCCUAGUCUACCACCCAAAACUGAAUUCCCAACCAAACAACUCCCUCUAGCUUCCAGGACAAAACACUCCCUCUUGUUUAUAUCAACUAUUUUAUCACGCGUAUUGUAACAAGGCCUUUCAACUUGAUUCCUUGGCCCAUCUUGAUGUAAUCUGCCUUAGAACAAUAAGUAGGUGAAUUGGAGAAUUUGUUACACUAUGCUUAUGUGGAAAAUCCGUUAGAAGAGACAUUAAUGAGCCAAACCCAAUACCUAACAUAAUCUCUCCUAAUUAAGGCUUGAUCCUAAUUCCUAACAUACCCACAUACCAAAUAGGGUGGAAUUCAAACUUUACUUCUUAAUUUGUCCAAAACUUAUUCUUUAGAAAUGUAACGUCGCUAACAAAAUAGCGAUGCAAUAUUCUAAAACGAAAUUCUUCUUGUCUUUCAUGUUCAUGGCAAGGAUAGAGAUAUCUUAAAUUCAUUUAAUCAAAGGUAGGUACUCGGCUACUCGCAACUCAAUUCAUGAAAACUUUUAACUUUUUCCCCUAGUUCAAUGAAAAGAAAGAAUAAAUCUAAAUGAAAACCAACAUUGAGAAAAUGAAAGUUAGGAUAUGUUCAAUAUUGGCUCGUUUUCCUCAGCUUGUUCAAAACCCAAACUCAUAACUCCAUCUCCUAAAUCAUUAAAGACAUUAUUCCACAAAACACAAAGUUCGGUUUUCUAUUGUCAUUUUAGUGUUUCUGACAAACAUACAAAACCAGCAACUUUAAAGUUCGGUUUGCAUGAUUUUCAUAAGUAUAAACUACAAGGAAAAGUAAAAGCUCACCUCAUGUGUAAGAAUAAUUGAGCGAAAAUAAUUAUUUAUUGACUUGUCGAAAAUAAUAGAAGUGUUCAUCAAUCAAGGGAAAAUAAACAAAACCCUCAAAGAGUUUGAUUUUUUGUUCUAAAAUUUGAAAUGCUUUACUCUAACUAGUGAGCUCCAGCUCCACUGAAAAGGAAGCAAUUAACAAAUCAUGUAUUAGCUAACAGGAAAGCCAAGCCAACCAAUGUCUAAAUCCAAAAUAAUUACAAGAACAUUCAUAAUUUUAUUAAGCUAUAAAACAUUUCAAACUGAAAACCAAAUAUGUGGUUACGGCAUUUGGCUUAUAAUCUAAUCAUUACAGCACAUCCUCCAUUAUUCAAUAAAGAUCAAUACCUCUUAUUAAAAUCUCAAUAUGAGUUGAUCAUGUUCAAUAUCAAUCAAAGCUCUACAGAGAGCUAAAAGUGGCCUUUUCAAGAUGUGUGAUAACUUUUCAUCUUCCUCUGUAUCAAGGAUAACAAAUUCUACCAAAAAAACAAGAAAUUAUCCACUCUUACCAACACAUCCUCCAUUAUUCUCUAAGCACGCUUGAUAGACCAGUUCACAAGCUAUAAUGAUAUCCUUGUGGGUUUGCAUUCAAUGCCUUCUAAAUUUCUCAUCAUUGAUAAAGACAUGAGAUUUAUGUUGACACCUAAAUCACAAAGAGCUUUUCCAAUAAUUAGUUUAUCAAUAGUCCAAGGGAUAGUGAACCUUGCUUGAUCUUUUAACUUUGGAGGAAGCUUCCUCCAACGGAGAUAAUCCGAAAUUACCUAACUACCGACUGGCCUAUCAAGCAAAUUUAAGCUCCACUGAAUAUCUAUUUACCAAUUUUAUGCUAUUUUACUUUUUUCCCAAUUCCUUAUUGUGUACUUAAGAGAAAAUAAAUUAAAAAUCAGUUAGAAAGUGAGAACAAAAGAAGAGGGUCAAAUAAUUAUUGAACUGAAAUUAAAGCAUUGUAAAUUGAAAUUUUAGAUUAGCACUCAUAUCAGCUCAAAAUUAGAACAAAUCGUAAACCCAUAACUUCAUUCAGUAAAUCGCGAAUGAAUGACACUUAACAAGCAAGAGUACCAAAAUAAAAAUUGAAAUCACAAAAUAAAAUGAUUUGGAAAGAGAAUAGAACUUACUUGCUAUUGCAAAACGUGAGAAACGAGAGAGAUGAAACCUCAUUCAGCAAAUCGCAAAGUAAUGACACUUAACAAGUAAGAUUACCAAAAUAAAAAUUGAAAUCGCAAACUAAAAUGAUUCGGAAAGAGAAUACAACUUACUUGCUACUGCAAAUCGCGAAGUGAAAUGAGAGAGAUGAAUUUAGGGUUGUUUAAAAUAAAAUUUACGGUUUUUGGGGAUUAGGGUUUGUUAAGACAAUAGAGAGAAAAGGGUUUUAGAAAUGCAAAGAAAAAGAAAAGGUUUCUAAGUGUUUUUCGAAGGCGAUGUGUAGUUGCAUUUUCAUGGUACAAGACCAAACGGGCAAAACCUACAUUUUUAUGCAUUUAUUUUUUUAUUUAUAAAAGAGUAUAAUAAUUUUAAAAACAAUGACACUCUAAUUGUAGCUAAAAGUAGCAUUAGUGACAGAUAAAAAAUCAUCACAAAAUCUGAGUGGUAGAAUAGAUUUUUUUUUUUUUUGUAGUGAUCAUGCAAGAAAUAGAUUAACACAAAAAUAAGAUUUAGAUCAAUAUAGUUUAGGGUACGAGCAAGGUCAAAGAUGAAAGAACAUUUGCAUAAAGAAUUAUCAGAGGUUGUGUGAUUGAAUUAAUAUCUAUGUUUCAUCAUACAAAAAAUAUAAUUAAGAGAAAACAUAAAAACCAAGAGGUUGAAUGAUUAAUACCUAUUUUAUUAUAUUAUAUAUAUAUUUUUUUUAAAAGCAAUAGUAUUUUAGUGCAAUAUUUUGAAGAAUAAGCAUUUAUGUGAUUUUAGGUGUAUAUUCGCGCACCAAAUUAAUAUAACAUUCUUUUAUGCGUUUGACUAAUAUUAAAUGUGUACUUAAUUAUAUUUAUUUAAUUCUAAAUAUAUUUUAUUUUAAUUAUUUAUUUUAUAAAUUAUUAUCUUGAGAUAGUGAUAAUAUUGUGUUUGAUUUUCUUUAUUUUUAUAUAUUUAUUAUGAUAUUGUGAUUAUAUAUAUAUAUAUAUAUAUAUUUAGUAUGAUUUAGUAAUUAAUAUAAAGUGUUGAUUUUAUAUUUAUUUAUUUUAUAAUUUUGACUAUUCUCUGAUGAUAUAUUAUUAUAACGUGAGUAUUUUGAAAAAUAAGUAUAAUUAUAGUGAUUAAUUUGAAUAUGAGAGUUUGAGUUGUUAAUAAUAUGUAUUUUUUUAAAAGGUUAAUUAUUUUAAUUUCUCUAAUAUAUCAAGUAUUAUUUUUGAAAUAUUAGUAAUUAAAUUUUGUUAAAAAAAAUAACUUUGGUAAUUGUUGGUUUUAUUAAAAAAAAAAAAGAUUAAAUGUGUUUCAUGGGAUAAGCCAAGUAAAACCUAAUUAAAGAAUAAAACCAAACCAAAAAAUAGAGGAAGAGAAAGAUACAACACGACAGCUGCUGCUCCCAAGAUGAAUUGGAACAAAAUUAGAAGAAAAUUGACACUGGUGAUCGACAACUGUUCCAGAAAAGUUUCUCCGUUUUUGUCCAAAUUUCAGUAUGUUAUUUUACUUAAUUAACUAGUCAAUUAAACACGAUUGUCCAUAUAUUUAACAACCCCAAUUUCUCUCUAAAAUAUCUGAUUUCUCCUUUUGUCGAAUUCGUUAUUUUGCAUCGUUCUCCUUCACCGUAUGUCCGAUUUGAGUGAAACCAACGCCAAAACGACAGUGUGAAAAGUUUUGAAUUCCUCGACCGAAUUUCGAAUUUAGUUUUUAGAGUAUCUUCCCAUAAUUUACUUUUAACGUUUACUCAUAAAUUGUUGAGUUAGAUCGAUUGAUGGACAAAAAGUCAAUGAACAAAUGUUGUUUGCUCGUGGAAUCCUAUUCGUGUGUGAAAGCGUCGAAAUAAGGUAAGGGGUGAGAGAGCAUUUGAAUUAAUGAGUAUAAUAUAUUGUGAGCUGAACGGGAAAACCGUAUUUCCCAACGAUUCAUCUAGGGCUCGCUACGUACGGCAAUAGCCCUUUGAGUGAUAAAUUGAUUAAUGUAAAAAUAUGAUAAUUGUGAGAUUAAAAUAUGGAAUAUAAAUAUUUAUAACGUGUUGAUUGAUUUAACUCCGUUGAAUGUGUGGUAUUUGAUAUUAUUGUGAUGUUUAAUUUAUUUUUAUUAAAUGUGAGAUAUUUGCUAUUAUUGUGAUAUUGGAUGUCGCAUGAAUUUUAUGUAUAUGUUUGAUUAGACGUGUCUAUGUGAUGUGAUAAUAAAAAGUGAAUUCAUUUUGAUAAGUUAAUGAAAUUAUGAUGAUGUAUAAUUAAUAAUAAUGAUGUUAUAAAUUUGUGAUAAGUGUAUGUGAUGAUGUAUGGUUAAUGAUAGUGAUGCUAUAAAUUUGUGAUGAGUUUAUGUGAUGAGAUAUUAUUAAUGAUAGGGAUGUUGUGAAUUUGUGAUGAGAAUAUUGAAGUAACCCCAUAGUUGGUGAAAUAAUUGUGAUUCCAAUUUGUGUUUGAGAUGACAGUCUUAAUGGAGUAUCAUAGACCAACGAGGGGAUAAAAUAAAUAUUGAAAAUUUGUAAAGUGAAGAUUAUUUUGUCAUCAUAUAGGUAGGGCCUGACAAACCUAGUGAUUCCGAAGAAGUACAACUGAAUGAACCUGAUCGUGGCGAUCUGCUAUCAAGCCUUAAGGCAAGAUUGUUAGACCUUGGAGGUAUUCGGGUGGGGAAUUCCUUGGUGACUUGGAGGUAGCACUCCAAAUGUCGGGUUGCGUUGAGGGGAUCUAUGAGGAUAUGACAAAUUUGAAUUGUCCGUCCACAGGGAUGGUGGCAUAAUAUCAAGCCUUGUUUGAUUGAUCUGACUCCGAAUCUAGCUCCUGCUCACAAAUAAAUUAACUAACUACAACUUUUUCUUGUACCACUCAAUCACUGGGUUAUCUUUUGGAUAGAGAUAUAGAUAUAUAUUACAAUGUUUUUGUUAUAUUGAAUAACUCGGAAUUAUACCGAUAAAAUUGUGUAUAACUCUACAUUGUAUAAAAUUGUGUAUAACUUUAUUGUUACAGUGGUGCAUAACUUCAGACAUAUUAAAGAUCACUAUCUCUUAUUAAAAUCUCAAUAUGAGUUGAUCAUGUUCAAUAUCAAUCAAAUUUUUUCAAGAGUAGAAUGAUACUUUUUUUUUUUAUUUCUAAUUUUUUCUUGUCUCUCAAGGUCUCUAAAAUUUAACUUUUCUAUAAUUUCUUAUAUUUUAUUUUACUCUUAUUUUGAUUAAUUUUAUAAUACGUUAUUAGCACGAAACUCUACCAUAAGAGUAAUCAUAAAUAAUCAAUUUAGAGAUUUUGUUCUAAGAAUAUUUCUUCUUACUAUUUCUUCUAAAUUUUCUAAAAAAAAAUAUUUCUUAUUAUAUUCUUUUCAUGAUCAUAUUUCUUGAAUAUUUGAUUUCUUUUAUUUCAUAUCAAUAUUUUUUGUUUUCAUAUAAAUUGUGUUAGAAGAUUAUUUUUUUGGCUUAUAUAGUUGUCUUCUAGAAUUUAACAUUAAAGCAUAUCUUUGACGGAUUGCAAAAGAGUGAUUUUCUUGGAUCAUCAUAUAUGAUGAUGUGUUUUAUAGUUCCUACAAAAUUAAGAGUUUAAUUAUCAAAAUUAUGUGAAGGAUUGCAAAGAUAAUUUAUGAUAUAGUUUAUGAUGAACUAAAGAGUUGAUAUUAAAUCAUAUCUGAGGAAGUGCUCGAAAAAUGAAUUGUUCUUGAUCACUAUUUAUGAAUAUCUUUUGUGAUAUAAAAAUUUAAUAUUCAAUUAUCCCUAUUGAAUUGUCGAAAUUGGGAAUUUUGGUAUAUGAUUCUUGAAGAACUAAUAAUUUAAUACCAUGCAUCAUUUUAGGAAUAAAAAAGGUGUUAUUUUAUUUCGAUAUUGUUAAUGAAGAUUUGUGAUUGAGUUCUUGAAGAAAUAAAAUAUUAGACCACAAAUUAUUUAUAGAAAUCAAAAUUGGAAUAAAGGAAUUAAAGAAAAAAAUAAUACAUCAAAAUAGAUUUUUAACGCCAAGACAUCUCUUAAAUUUCAGUGAUGGUACGAAAUAUUAUAUGAUUACAACUAUAUUAUAUUUCUCACCUCAUCUUUAGACGGUCAAAUAGUGUAGUACAUACCUCUCUAAGUGUAGCAAAUAACUCUCUAAGUUUCCUCAAUGAAGAAUAAUAAAUACCUAAUGUAUAUACAUCUCAUAUAUUUUGUUUCUACAAUAGUUCAAUUUCCUCUAACUGAGUAUUUCAUAGUAUCAUCACUAUGAAAAAAAAACACGUUUUAAUGAAAAAAAUAGCUCAUUUUUAAUCAAAUAUAUAAAAUAUUUUAUAAUUAUUUUUUAAAGUAUUUAUACUUCAUUUUUUAUAUACAAUUUUAUUAAAAUAGUCCCACAAACUAGGAUGGUGUCAUUUCACUAUUAAUUUUCCUAUAUAGGUUUUUUUUACGCAUCUAUACUAUUCUACUCUUUCAAACAAUAUCUCUUAGUGGAUGAUCAAUCUCUCUACAAUUAGUGUUUUAUUAAAAAUAAAUUUAAAACUCCAAUAUUUACUUUGCAGAUAUAUUUUGUUUAAUAACUCUUUUUAUUCCAUUGCACUGUUGUGUUUCUUGUCAUUUUUAAUUAUACUUUUUACUUUGUAUUCUCUAUUUUGUGAUUUCAUUAGAAUAUGCCAACUUAGAAUUUCAUGCUCAAUAAUUUUAAAAUUAUAAUUACAUUACAACACAAGUAAAACAAAAGAGCACGACUAAUCAAAUUUUACGGUAGAUAAUUAUAUUUAUUAAUAUUUUUAUUAAAAUAGAUUUAAGACUUUUAUCACUAAAAAUAAUUAACGGGUUUUGUUUGUAGGAUGGUCUUCACUAUGGGGUUAUUUUAAAAAAUUAUUAUUUUUUAUUUUAUGUAUCGAAACCACACAUUUGAUAGAGAAUUUUAUUUUUUGGCUAAAUAUUUGAGAGAGCGGUGAAUGUUUAGCAAUUAGUAUUUUUUUAAAAAAUAAUAUAGUAAUUAGAAAGAUAUAAAUUUUAACAGAUUAUUGUUUUAUUGAAGACGAACAACAAAUUGCCAUACUUUACAAAUAUGUUGAAUUUAGCGUAACAUAUUGCACAAAUUUCAACCCAUAUUUAUCUCCUCUAAAUUGUUUAAUAGUGCACUUUUGUAACUCCAAAGAAAUGCAUUCAAGCGAGAAAAACAGGAACACGACCAGACCAGACAUCUGCAAAAAUUACAAAUAAAAAACAUUAGACAAAAGGGUGAGUGAGGGACAUAUGAGAUGGAAACUUUUGAUGUGUUUGUUGAGAAUUAUGAUUGAACCCAAGAAAAAAAAGUUGAAAUGAUUAUAUGAAGAAUUGUUAUAUAAUAAGUUGUGUUGCACUUUUAUACUCUUUAAUGUAACCAACCUAAUAAAUUCUACUUAAUCAUAAGUUUCUUUCAAAAGAUAUUUAUAUAUAAUAAUUUUCUAUCGGAUAUUACUAUUACCAUUUAUUAAUUACAAUUUAAAAUUUAGAUUUAAUAAAAAAAUAUAUCAAUUUUCAUCGCAUAUUAUAAUUUUAUUUUUUCUCUUUUUUAUUUAUUUUGACUUUGUUUUUCUUCACUACACAUAAAUUUAUUUGUUGAAAAUCAAUAAUGUUCUUAUCAAUAACCUAUCUUAUUAAGGAACUCGAGUUUGUUACUAUUUUUGCAAAAUAAGAAAAAAGAGAGAAUAUAAUUUGUUCCUACAAAUUAGAUAGAGUUUGUUACUAUAAAUUAGAUAAUAAACUCUAUGUUAUUAUGUGUUUGAGAAUAGUCACAAUGACAAAUGAUAUAAUUAUAAGUAAAGUUAACAUUAUCCUUUUUUUAUCAUUGCCAUGGAAUUGAGAUUUUGCAAUUUAAUACAAAAGUUUAGGAAUUGAUAAAAUUAUACAGUAAUAUAAAAGUUUAUAAGUUUGAUAUAUAUUUUUUAUUAUUAUUAAAUUAAAUUUUAUUAUCUAAAAUUUCAUUUUAAAGAAAUUCAACAAAUAUAUGUUAACAGGGAGCUCAUAAUAUGAUCUCCAAUUUAUAGGGUCCACGUGUGUUACUCAAUCGUUACCAACUAUAAUAGUUUUUUCUUUCUUUCUUUUUUUAGAAUUUGUGAAAAAAAAUCGGUUAUUUUAACUAGGAGGUAUUAUUAACAUUAUGCCUUUAUAUUUAAUCCAAAAGUCCUAAAAAUAAAAUUAAAAAAAUGUUAAAAAAAGAAGAAAAGAAAUUAAUAACACCAAGCUGAACUUCCCUCCUCACCUUGGUUGAAUUCAGAUAUUUUUUAAUAAUUUAUCUUUAACUAAAGUUUAUUAAUUACUUGAGCUAUUAUUUGAUUAAGUGUCCAUUCUCUUUUAUACAUUGAACAUUAAUAUAAUUAAAACAAACACCUAUUUUAUUUUUUUUUAAAUUGUAAUAAAUAAAUAAAUUCCCGAUAAGAGUUUAGGAGACAAAUGUCAAAUCUCAUCUCAUAAAGUUGUAAAAUGACGAAUAUUUAGACUUUGAUUAAUAAUAAUUUUCCCUUCUCUUUUUAUUUAAAUAAAUAAAAUUAUAACAACUAAAUUAUAAAGGAUAAAAAGGGAUUUUUUUGUUAAAAUAGUAAAAGUAAAAUUAAUUAAAAAAUAUGAUAAACUACAAAUUAAAAAGCUAGUUGAGGUAACAUAUUAAAAAAUGCUUUAAGUUAGUAAAAUAAUUAUAAACUUAUAAUGAUUAACAAAUAAAUAUUUUUUAAUAUGAGUUAAUAAGUUAACUUAUUUGUCAGCAGACUCUUAACUUUUAUACUUCGGUAAACAAAUUUCUAAGAACAGACUUAUAGUAUUUAAAACAAGAGUAAAGAUUAUAAAGACGGUCCAAAUUUUUUACCCCUUAAAAAUUUGAAACAUAAUUUAUUCACAAUUAAAAAAGAAACAAAAUGUAAAAUUUUAGCAUUAGUCUUAAUGUAAGCUAAACAAACCUUAAAUCUUAAUAAAAACAAAAGAGAAGUGUAGGUUUUAAUGUUCUGAAUUUUUUAAAUUAGAAAGUUUCGUUAGUGUUAGCCUUAGUGUGUAGCUUAAGUAAAGGCUGGCUCUAAAAUAAAAAUAAAAUAAAAUAAAAAAUUAGAGACGAAAUUUAAUUUUAAAGUUUUCACUUUUAAAAAAACUAGAAUACCAGAUUUUUGUAACAUUUUAAAAAGUUUGAAUUUUUUUUCCACAUUUAUAUAAAUGGGGUUAAAAAAUUUGAAUUUUUUUUUCCAUAUUUAUAAAAAUGGGGCAGCAGACAUAUAAUUUAGUUGGUUUUUGGGUAUAUAAUUUUGGGUAUACAUUGAAUAUUAAUAUAACUAAAACAUACACCUAUUUUAUUUUUUAAAAUUAUAAUAAAUAAAUAAAUUCCCGACUUACUACUUAUGUAGUAAGAGUUUAGGAGACAAAUGUGAAAUCUCAUCUCAGAAAAUUAUAACUAAAUUACAAAGGAUAGAAAGGGAUUUUUUUGAUAAAAUAAUAAGAGUAAAAUUAAUUAAAAUAUAUGAUAAACUAAAAAUUAUAAAGCUACUUGAAGUAACAUAUUAAAAAAUGCUAUAAGUUAGUAAAAUAAUUAUAAACUUAUAAUGAUUAUAAAAUAAACAUUUUUUUUAUAUGAGCUAAUAAGUUAAUUUAUUUGUCACCAGACUCUUAACUUUCAUAUUUCGGUAAAUCAUACAAAUAUCUAAAAAUAGAUUUAUAAUUUUUAAAUUAAAACUCAAAUUUAUUUAAAAAAAUUUAAAACAAGAGUUAAGAUUAUAAAGAUGUUCCCAAUUUUUUACCCCAUAAAAAUCUGAAAUAGAAUACCAGAUUUUUCUAACAUUUUAAAAAUUUGAAUUUUUUUUCCACAUUUAUAAAAAUGGGGCAGCAAACUUAGAAUUAGUUGGUUUUUGGGUAUAUAAUUUUUUAUUUUAUAAUCUCUGAUUUUAAGUAAAUAGAGUCUUAAUAUCUGAAGUUCACAUAAUAGAUAAAUAGAAUUUAAUAAAAGAAAUUAUUUUAAUUUUAAAACUCAAAUUUUCAUGAAUAAUUUAUUAUGAAUUGAAAUUAAAUGCAACAGAACUAAAAAAAUAUAAAGAAAUUAAAUGCAACGGAACUAAAAAAAAUUAAAUGCAUGUGAAAAAGAUUUAGUAGUCAACGGUAAAAAAAAAGAUUUGAUUUUUUCGGUUUUGAAGAUUUGAUCUGAUUAUUAACCUUAUAAAAACAGAGCCAACACACUCCAAACAUAUAGUGAAUUGAAUUGAACAUUGUUAUUCUUGUUCCAUUUUCUUUUGUUUGUUCUCCAUACACAUAACACAAUGAGUUCUUUAUCGGUAAUGAAAUUGGAGAAUACUAAACAACCUCGUAAGCGACUUAUAAUCAAGUUUUCUUCUCAAAAGAGUCAUUCUCAAGGAGAUAUUAAGAUGGAACAUUCCAAGCCAAUUGUUACAUGUUUCUGGCUUGACGCUAAAGAUUCAACAGCUAUUAUGUCUCAACAAAACAACAACACAACAACCGAUUCUGUCAAAGAUUCAAAACCCAUCUUGUCUAAAGAAGUUGGUGUGCAAGUAAUGAAGGAUUCUUGUUCCAAGAAGAUUAUCAAUGAAACAAGAAACCCAAGAACCGAAAAUUGUUGCUUGAAGACUGAUGGCGGUGAGAUCAUGAAUGAAAAGAGAAAGAAGCCGAUGCAACAUUACAAGAAGAUGCAAUGUUGGGUGAUUUUGAAGAGGAUUUUGAUUGGAAGAGAUAGCUGGCCUCUAAAAGACCCUAUUGAUCUCAAGUUCUUGAAGGCUUUUCAUGACAAGGAUAAUUUAGAGAACAAGUCUAAAUUGAAGACUAUGGGUUUGAAGAAUAUUGAAUCUAAAUUGCAAUUCUAUUCAACACCCGAUGAAUUUGCUACUGACAUCAGAUUUGUAUUCUCUCAAAGAAUGUUAUUAUAUCCUCCUAGAAAUGAGGUUCAUAAAAUUGCGUUAAAGUUUAGUGAAUAUUUUGAAAACAAAUGGAAGUCUCUCAAAAAAGAUUGGGACCUUGAGGAAAGAAAAAUAAACAAGAGAAAAAGGGAUGAACAUGCUCAUGAGAUGAAAGACUUCUUCCAAACCAAAAGGUCAAGAUAAGAUAUGCAAGACAACAACCCGUUUCUUUUGCAUGUUGCCAUCGUCACUUUAGUAUUAACACUGAUAUGUAUAUACUAGAUAUUUUGUCAAUUUUCACAACAUAUUGUUAUUGUUCUUAUUCUUGUAUUUGUGUCCAAUUGGCAAUACAUAACAUGAUUUUGCUACUGUUCUCUCUUUAUUACAUGUGUGUUUAAAGUUUAAUAUCAAUUACAAUUGUGUUUAAUGUUAAAUCUUAUUUUUUUUUUAAACUUUUCGUUAGAAUGAUCUAACUUUGUUACAAAAUUUAAAAUAGUUAGGAGUAACUUAAAUUCAAUUUUGUUUUCUAAGUAUGUUGACUAUCGAUAACCUGUUGCUUAUUUUUUAAAGAUAAUAUUGAUGGUUUAAAAAUAUAAUAAUUAAUGAAAUAAAUAUCAUUUUUCAUUUAUUUAUUUUAUAUUUUAUAUUAAAUUUAUUUUUUAUACAUUGUCUUAGUAAAAAAUAAUUUCAUGCAGAGCCAAUUUAGAAAAUUUUACAUUAUCAUCACAUCACAAUAUUUAUUGACAUAUAAUGCAACAACUUUUUACACUAAAUAUGUAUAUAAUUAAAUCCUAGAUUCUCGUUAUUUUUUGUUGAAAUUAUUAAAAAUAAAUAUUUUUUUAUCGGAAUAUUAUUUUGAUAUUGAAAUAUAAUUUAAGAACCAAUUCAAAUGCAGUAAUCUUUUCAGAGAAACAUUCACUAAUUUAAAGACUAAGUCAAAUACAAGCGAGCUUCUUUACAUAACAUUCUCUAGUUGAAGAGUUUUACUAUAUUUUUUUUUUCUUUCUUACAUUAACAAUUAUUUUUACAAAUAAAAUGGUUAUUGCCAGCUUUUAUAGUUUAAGAAAGAUCAUUUCAUACCAAAAAAUAUUGUAAACUACAUGUUUUUGAUGACGACAAGACCACCAACUAUGGACAAUGCAACAAGAUAAAAAAGAAGAUCAAAUUAUCUUCAAUAAGCUUCAAAAUAAGCUGCAACAAGAUUUUCAUAUCAUUCUAAAAGUUCUCAAGUACUUGAAUUGCUAUUGAGUUGUUUAUCAAUAUACCACAUCUUAGACUCAUUCAAACCUUAUUGUAUCAUUUGUACAGGAUAGCUUAAUCUAAGAUAGUGGUGUGCUAUCUUAGAAGUAUUGUUAGAAGUUUUGUAGCAAGAAUCCCAGGGUGGGAGUUGUACAUUUUCUGACAAGUAUUGGAUUAAUCUCUUGUGGUGUGCAAGAGGACUGGACGUACCCAUGGUUAUAAGGGGAACCAGGAUAAAUCUUAAAGUGUUCAUUUACUUACUGCAAUUUUUAUUAAGCUUUGUUCUUAAACUCAGAAAAUCCAAUUACCAUAUCACUAAAAANNNNNNNNNNNNNNNNNNNNNNNNNNNNNNNNNNNNNNNNNNNNNNNNNNNNNNNNNNNNNNNNNNNNNNNNNNNNNNNNNNNNNNNNNNNNNNNNNNNNNNNNNNNNNNNNNNNNNNNNNNNNNNNNNNNNNNNNNNNNNNNNNNNNNNNNNNNNNNNNNNNNNNNNNNNNNNNNNNNNNNNNNNNNNNNNNNNNNNNNNNNNNNNNNNNNNNNNNNNNNNNNNNNNNNNNNNNNNNNNNNNNNNNNNNNNNNNNNNNNNNNNNNNNNNNNNNNNNNNNNNNNNNNNNNNNNNNNNNNNNNNNNNNNNNNNNNNNNNNNNNNNNNNNNNNNNNNNNNNNNNNNNNNNNNNNNNNNNNNNNNNNNNNNNNNNNNNNNNNNNNNNNNNNNNNNNNNNNNNNNNNNNNNNNNNNNNNNNNNNNNNNNNNNNNNNNNNNNNNNNNNNNNNNNNNNNNNNNNNNNNNNNNNNNNNNNNNNNNNNNNNNNNNNNNNNNNNNNNNNNNNNNNNNNNNNNNNNNNNNNNNNNNNNNNNNNNNNNNNNNNNNNNNNNNNNNNNNNNNNNNNNNNNNNNNNNNNNNNNNNNNNNNNNNNNNNNNNNNNNNNNNNNNNNNNNNNNNNNNNNNNNNNNNNNNNNNNNNNNNNNNNNNNNNNNNNNNNNNNNNNNNNNNNNNNNNNNNNNNNNNNNNNNNNNNNNNNNNNNNNNNNNNNNNNNNNNNNNNNNNNNNNNNNNNNNNNNNNNNNNNNNNNNNNNNNNNNNNNNNNNNNNNNNNNNNNNNNNNNNNNNNNNNNNNNNNNNNNNNNNNNNNNNNNNNNNNNNNNNNNNNNNNNNNNNNNNNNNNNNNNNNNNNNNNNNNNNNNNNNNNNNNNNNNNNNNNNNNNNNNNNNNNNNNNNNNNNNNNNNNNNNNNNNNNNNNNNNNNNNNNNNNNNNNNNNNNNNNNNNNNNNNNNNNNNNNNNNNNNNNNNNNNNNNNNNNNNNNNNNNNNNNNNNNNNNNNNNNNNNNNNNNNNNNNNNNNNNNNNNNNNNNNNNNNNNNNNNNNNNNNNNNNNNNNNNNNNNNNNNNNNNNNNNNNNNNNNNNNNNNNNNNNNNNNNNNNNNNNNNNNNNNNNNNNNNNNNNNNNNNNNNNNNNNNNNNNNNNNNNNNNNNNNNNNNNNNNNNNNNNNNNNNNNNNNNNNNNNNNNNNNNNNNNNNNNNNNNNNNNNNNNNNNNNNNNNNNNNNNNNNNNNNNNNNNNNNNNNNNNNNNNNNNNNNNNNNNNNNNNNNNNNNNNNNNNNNGAACUUGGAAGGCUAGAACAAAAUGAAAGUCAAGAAAAGAAGAACAAAAAUAUUGCUUUAAAGACCGAAUCAAGAGAACAAAGCAAAGAUAAUGAUUCAGAUGAAGAUGAAAAUAUUAUCCUUCUUGUUAAGAAAUUUGGUAAAUUUCUUAAAAACGAUAGAACAUUCAAAAAGAAAAGCUUCAAGAAGAAAGAUAAUUCUACAUCAAAUCAAAAUUUCACUUGCUUCGAAUGUGGAAAACAAGGACAUAUUAAAGCAGAUUGCCCAAACCUUGCUAAGAAGAAUGUCAACAAAAAGAAAGACUUCAAGAAGGCAUACAUAGCUUGGGAAGACAAUGAAGUAAGUUCAUCUUCAGAAACAGAAAGUGAAGAAUGCGCCAAUGUUGCAUUAAUGGCCUCGCAUCAAUCAGAUGAUGAAGAGGUUAGUAAUAUAGACUCUCCUCAUUAUAAUAAGACUAAUAAUGAAUUAAUUAUAGAAUACAAUGAUGCUCAAAACGCAAUAAAGGAAUUACUUAUUGAAUGUAAAAAUCUGUGUAAACUAGUAUCAACACAAAAGAAACAAAUCUCAAGUUUACAAGAAAAAGUUGAUAUUAUGGAGAAAAAUUCUGAAAAACUAAAACAGAAUUCUGCAUGCAAUAAAUGUGAAUCCCUCUCUUUCAAAAUUGUUCAAUUAAAUAGAGUGAUUGAACGGUACGAAAAGGGACAAUUAGGAUUGGAAAAUGUUUUAAAUAUGCAAAGAUACUCAAAUGACAAAAGUGGUCUUGGAUAUUCAAAAUUUGAUAAACCAAAUUUGAACAAAACUAUUUUUGUUAAAGCAAGUAGUCAAUCUAAUCAAGAAAAGAUUAUAGUUAUGAAAAAGGAUGAUCUUUAUAAUAAGAAAAUUAUUCAAAAUAAAUCUCAUACAUAUGCUACUAAUAGUAGAUUUAAUCUUACUUGUUCUUAUUGUGGUCUUCAUGGUCAUACACCUAAUACAUGUCAUAUUAGAAACAUUAGUGUUCCAAGAGGGGAUUACAUAUGGGUAAAGAAAGGUACUAACCAUCAAGGACCCAAAGCACAUUGGGUACCUAAUAAAGUUUGAUUUCAAUUUUGUAGGUAUGCAAACAAGAGACUUCAAACAUGUGGUACUUAGAUAGUGGCUGCUCCAAACACAUGACGGGUGAUAUAACAAAAUUUUCAGCUUUAACACUUGAGUCAAAGGGACAUGUAGUAUAUGGAGACAACAACAAAGGAAAAAUUUUAGGCAUUGGAAAAGUCGGUACAACACCAUCCCCCUCGAUUGAAGAUGUCUUAUAUGUUGAAGGUCUAAAACAUAAUCUCAUAAGCAUCAGCCAGCUUUGUGACAAAGGAUACACGAUAGUUUUUAAUAAAGAUGAGUGCAUCAUCCAAAAUGAAGCUACAAAUGAAACUCAGUUUGUCGGUAAGCGUUUCAAAAACAUUUUCAUACUCAAUUUUGAAGAUUUAUCCUUAAAAAUGAAAUGUCUUUUGGUAAGCGACAAUAAUGAUGUUUGGCUAUGGCAUAAGAGAUUUGCUCAUAUUCAUAUGGAUCAUUUAAACAAAUUGGUCAAGCAUGAUCUUGUUGUAGGCUUACCAAAAAUAAAAUUUAUAAAGGAUAAAUUAUGUGACGCUAAAAAGUCAUUUCAACCUCUAGAACAAUACAAUUGAUACAUAUGGAAUUGUUUGGUCCCAUAAAAACCAAAAAGUCUUGGUGGAAACUCAUAUGGACUAGUUAUUGUUGAUGAUUACUCAAGUUCACUUGGACCAUAUUCUUGGCAAAUAAAAAUGAAGCUUUUAAGGCAUUUACAAACUACGCCAAGCUAGUCCAAAACCAACAAUCUGCCAAAAUUAUAUCAAUUAGAAGUGAUCAUAGAAAGGAAUUUCAAAAUACUUCAUUUGAAGAAUUUUGUGAAGAAAAUGGCAUUUUUCACAAUUUUUCUCCACCAAGAACACCACAACAAAAUGGGGUCGUUGAGAGAAAGAAUAGAUCAUUGAUAGAGCUUGCUAGAACUAUGCUAAGCGACUCAAAUCUACCAAAAUACUUUUGGGCAGAUGCUGUAAACACAACAUGCUAUGUUUCCAACCGGGUAAUUAUUAGGCCAAUUCUUAAGAAAACUCCAUAUGAACUUUACAAAGGUAGAAAACCCAAUAUCUCUCACUUCCACAUUUUUGGAUGUAAGUGUUUUGUGUUAAAUAAUGGUAAAGACAACCUUGGAAAAUUUGAUGAAAAAGCUGAUGAAGGUAUAUUUCUCGGUUACUCUUUAUCUAGUAAAGCAUUUAGAGUCUUUAAUAAAAGAACCUUAUUAGUUGAAGAAUCAAUGCAUGUAACCUUUGAUGAAACUAACCCCAUAAAAGAAGAAAAUAUUAUUUCUUGUGAUGAUGAUGAUGUUUUUGAAAGCAAUGAUCCAAGCAAAGAACUUCAACAAGAAAGUGGAGUCAAUAUUGAAAGGCAAAGUGAUGAUCUUCCUAAAGAAUGGAGAACCCAUAGAUAUCACCCUAUUGACAACAUCAUAGGUGAUAUAAAUAAAGGAGUCACAACAAGGUUAAAAUUGCAAGAUGCUUGCUUAAACAUGGCGUUUGUUUCUCAAAUCGAACCCUCCAAAAUUGGUGAAGCACUUAAAGAUGAUCAAUGGAUACUUGCCAUGCAAGAAGAACUCAAUCAAUUCGAAAGAAGCCAAGUUUGGGAACUUGUUCCUAAUCCUGGAAAUAAACACAUCAUUGGUACAAAAUGGGUGUUCAAAAAUAAACUAGAUGAGAAUGGCAUAGUUGUUCGCAACAAAGCUAGAUUGGUUGCUCAAGGAUACAAUCAAGAGGAAGGGAUAGACUUUGACGAAACAUUUGCUCCGGUAGCAAGACUAGAAGCCAUACGUCUACUAUUAGCAUAUGCUUGCUCCAUGAAUUUUGAGUUAUAUCAAAUGGACGUGAAAAGUGCAUUUCUCAAUGGGUACAUAAAUGAAGAAGUUUAUGUCAAGCAGCCCCCUGGAUUUGAAGAUUCCAAAAAUCCCUCACACGUUUACAAAUUGAAAAAGGCUCUUUAUGGUCUAAAACAAGCUCCAAGAGCUUGGUAUGACAGAUUAAGCACCUUUUUAUGUGAACGAGGAUUUGACAAAGGAGAAGUUGAUAAAACGUUAUUUGUCAAAAGAGAAAAUGGUCACACAUUAUUGGUUCAAAUUUAUGUUGAUGAUAUAAUAUUUGGAUCAACCAACAAGGACAUAUGUGAAGAAUUCUCUUCAAUAAUGCAAGGAGAAUUCGAAAUGUCCAUGAUGGGAAAAUUAAACUAUUUUCUUGGACUUCAUAUCAAGCAACUUGAGCACGGCAUCUUCAUCAAUCAAGCCAAAUAUUGUAAAGAAUUACUAAAGAAAUUUGAAAUGGACAAUUGCAAAGAAAGUACAACUCCAAUGGGCUCCAGAACAUAUGUUGAUAAAGAUGCAUCAGGAAUUUCAAUCGACAUAUCCACAUAUCGAGGUAUGAUUGGAUCAUUAUUAUAUCUAACGGCCAGCCGUCCAGAUAUCAUGUUUAGUGUUUGUCUGUGUGCAAGAUUUCAGGCAGAUCUGAAAGAAUCACAUCUAGUAGCUGUUAAAAGAAUUAUGAAGUAUCUAAAAGGAACAACAAAUGUAGGCCUAUGGUAUCCCAAGGGUAGCAUAUGUAGCCUAGUUGGAUACUCUGAUUCGGAUUAUGCGGGAUGCAAAACAGACCGUAAAAGCACCAGCGGCACGUGCCAUGUCUUAGGAAAUGCACUUGUUUCAUGGUCUUGUAAAAAGCAAGCUUGCGUUGCACUUAGUAUUGCUGAAGCUGAAUACAUUGCAGCAUGAAGCUGUUGUGCCCAGAUUCUCUGGCUUAAACAGCAAUUACAUGACUAUGGAGUUGAUCUCGGAUGCAUUCCCUUAAGAUGUGAUAACACAAGCGCAAUAAACAUCUCAAAGAAUCCAAUCAUGCACUCUAGAACUAAACACAUCGAUAUCCGACAUCAUUUUCUACGGGAUCAUGUACUUAAAGGUAAUGUUGAGGUAACAUUUGUUGAUACACACAAUUAAUUGGCUGAUAUAUUUACAAAACCAUUACCUAAAGACUCAUUUUAUAAAAUCCGAAGAGAACUUGGUAUUUUGAGUGAAAAUGAUCUUUAACCAUUGCAUGAUAUACAUAGUUUGUCAUAUCUUUUAUGUCUUGUUGAUUAUUGCUUCUUGAUAUAUGAAUUUGUGUAUUACAUGAUGCAAAUUUUCAUAAAAAACUGAGUUUUUAAGCAAAACUGUGCUUAUGUAGUCGAAUACAAAUGUCUGUAUUUGAAUACAAACAUUCCCAGAUUUCCUGCAUUCGAAUACAAAGGAUGUGUAGUCGAAUACACGUUCCCAGAAAAAUGUGUAUUCAAAUACAAGAAGGUGUAGUCGAAUACACCUUCGCGUUUUUGCCCAGAUAUAAAAGCUGCUUCACAUAUUUAGGGUUAUUUUCUUUGGUAUUCGAAUACAGCCCCAGUUUCUCCUCUCUUCUCUCCAAAACUCAUCCAUCCUCCUUCCACUCACUUACCCAUUCACCCAACCUAACAAAAUCCAUUACUCUUUACUUCCUUCUUGUCAUUCCUCUUCAAAUCUCUCACAACUCUCACAUUUUCUCUAAAACCCAUUUUCCCCAAAAAUACCCUUUCUGACCAUGGAUGCCCGCAAACGAGGACCACACACCAAACAUGCAGCAGUAGUUCCCUCACGAAAACGAACCAGGAAUCCUAACAUCACAGAUCUAAACCCGGCUUCUACACACACCGGAGGAAAUUGAUCAUUUUCGCACAUUCUACUCGGACUAGCGACUUAUUAUCCCAAAGUAUGGUACUUUAGACUCUUUCUCUGACUUUAAAUUUCCUGCUUUGCUCAAAGCACAACUUGUUGAAGAGUUUAUAGGCUACAAAGGUCCAGUUUAUCUAGAUUUGGUUAGGGUUUUUUAUUGCAAUCUCAUGCAAGAGGGAAAACUGUUAGUCUCUCGGGUUAAGGGUAAAAUCAUCCGUUUAAAUACCAAAACCAUUGGAGAAAUUCUGAAUAUCCCUUUUAAUGGUGAAAUUUUUUUUACAAACCAAUUGUGUGAAUGGGGUGAUAUUUCUAAGUAUGAUGCGUAUGUCUCCCUCUGUCGAUUUGAUCGACGCACCAUGGAACAAAAGAGAGCUCAGGCAGGUUCCAAAUAUGCCCAGCAAUGGUAUGGUGUGGGAAAUCUUACUGUUGAUUAUCGACUUCUACACUAUUUCCUUAGCUACAUUCUGGUUCUGAAGGCUGAAAAUUACUCCCAAAUUUCGGAGUUUGAAUUGCAAAUUAUGAAUUUCAUGUUUGAAGGUCGUCAACUUAAUUGGGCAUUUUUUGUGAAAUCUAUUAUGUUUGGCUCUCGCGAGGCAAUUUGCUUACCCUAUGCAAAGGAAGUUUCACGGAUUUUGGAACACUUUGGUGUGGACUUCUCUGAUGAAGUUAUGUUUACACCCACCAAAGAAAAUAUGCUGGAUUUAGGUGUCUUGCCUAGCAUGCGGAUAAUAUGGAAUGAAGAGCUUGAAGCAUUUGUGCGUAAAGGUGAUCAUGGUCAACCAUCUGAUGAUGCACCAGAGGACAAUGCUGGACCCUCAAACGCGGCUGCUCAAGGAGAUGAAAAUGGCGAGGAAACUGCAUCUGAUGAUGAUUAUAUCUCCAAUCAAAUGAUCAUGACUCGCCUUGAUUCUUUCCAAACCUUCUUCCAAACUCAAUUCGACAAGUUGACCACCUCUAUCGACACUCGCUUCACCAAUAUUGAAACUACUAUUGCUCGCAAUCAUGAAGCACUAUCUCAAGACAUUAGUAAUUUAUCAGACAAACUUGAUCAUUUCCACAUUCCGACAGAUUUUGAUUAAGUCCUUUAGUUAUGUACUAAGUUAACUUUUUGCAUUAGGUAUUACUGUGAUCUUUGUUUUAUGAACUCCUUUGUCUUUUUAAUUAUGGUGUAUUCUGUAUUGCUCUUUUCGGGACAUGUUAUGUAUUAACUUUUAUGAUAUUCUGACUUAAUUUCCAUUUAUGUUAUUCUCCUUGUUACCUUAUAUGCCGUUUGUGUAUGAUAAUACUCGGAACUUGUAUGUCUCUUUUUCUUUUUUUUCUUCUUUUUGAUCAUGUCAAAAGCGGGAGAAAAUUUGGUACUGUUGAUGCAUUUCAAACCUUGUAGGUACUCAAAAACAAUUUUUUUCAAAUCAUCACAUACAACGGGGGAGUAUGAACCUAUUACGGGGGAGCAAUGAUUUCAAUUUUUUUAUAAGUACUUGCAUUAGAUUUUCAUAUCAUUCUAAAAGUUCUCAAGUACUUGAAUUGCUAUUGAGUUGUUUAUCAAUAUACCACAUCUUAGACUCAUUCAAACCUUAUUGUAUCAUUUGUACAAGAUAGCUUAAUCUAAGAUAGUGGUGUGCUAUCUUAGAAGUAUUGUUAGAAGUUUUGUAGCAAGAAUCCCAGGGUGGGAGUUGUACAUUUUCUGACAAGUAUUGGAUUAAUCUCUUGUGGUGUGCAAGAGGACUGGACGUACCCUUGGUUAUAAGGGGAACCAGGAUAAAUCUUAAAGUGUUCAUUUACUUACUGCAAUUUUUAUUAAGCUUUGUUCUUAAACUCAGAAAAUCCAAUUACCAUAUCACUAAAAACAAGAAACUUUACUAACACCUAUAAAGAAUAAUACAUAAUUUACAUAACUAAACAAAUAAUAACUAAAAACAUAGAGUAGAUAAAAUAAGGAACAUCCAAACUGACGUUGAAUACAUCACCUAGUUGAACUUUGUUAAGAACAUUACAAAGAAUGAUUCCACUCCACAAACAAAGCCUAAACUCUUCCUUAGAAGUCUCUACGGGUAAAUAUUUAGCUGCAACAACUCCAACCAUUUUUUCUCAACCACCAUGCUGCUUCAUAUCUUCUAAAUGUUGCAUUUUAUAUAAUUUAUUUUUCAGUCUCAAAAUAGCUGAUACAAAAUCCAAAUAUCUUUUUAAUAUAAUAUUGACAAAUAUCAACCUUCAUUAAAAUCAAUAUCAUAUAGAAAAGGAUGAUAAUUUGAGACAUUAAUGAAAAAAAACUGAAAACUGAUUGUUCCCAGGAAAUUACCAGCUUAUUCCACCUUUCUAGAUUCCAAAUCAAGAUCUUUGAGGCGAGUACCGUGUUGUUGAAGCACAUCUUCAACCACAGAAGCAACUGAAAACGACAAUGUUACCAAUUCAAGAAAGAAGCAUAUUGAUUCUAUAAUCUAUAUCUUUUCCCAUUUUCUCUGUACAAACUGGUACUCCAACUCCACUAACACAAAUACCUCUUUCUAUCUCUAUCUAUCCGCUUUACAGUAUACAAUACUCCCCACUAUUCUUCCUUGCUUUGGUUCUCUCCUUACGUCAUGCUUCGAUUCCAAACCUCAUUAUCAAUCUAACCUUUCAGAUCCUAUAGGGUCUGAACAGAGACAUCACUCCACAUCUUAUAUUUAUGAACUCUUGUGCUUAUAAAUAGGCCAACAUCGAUAAAGGUGGCCCCAUCACUAUUUGAUUCCUUAGAAAAGGCAUGUGACCUGUCUGCCGCAUUGGGGGUGUAGUUCUCUCAAAUAAUCAAUAAUCUAUGUUAGGAUAACUGUAGCCUGCCAUGAUCAUAAACCCCCCAUCAUCAUCUGUAAGCCCUCCUUCAAAUACAAGAUUCCCAAUAUGUUCCUCCAUGAACACAAACUUGAGCUGCAAGGACUCUUAAAGCAUUAGCUUCUCCUUGCUUGAAUAGACAACAAACAGUUUCAACUAUCAUUUAGGGAGCCCGAAAACUGGCGACCGUGCAUAGUUCAAUUAGAAAGAAAUAUAAAUUUUUUUAUAGUGUAUCAUCCUCCAACUUUUAAACAACAGGUAUUCAUGAGAAACAACAGUGUUUUCCCUAAGAAUAAGAGAACCUAGUCUACCACCCAAAACUGAAUUCCCAACCAAACAACUCCCUCUAGCUUCCAGGACAAAACACUCCCUCUUGUUUAUAUCAACUAUUUUAUCACGCGUAUUGUAACAAGGCCUUUCAACUUGAUUCCUUGGCCCAUCUUGAUGUAAUCUGCCUUAGAACAAUAAGUAGGUGAAUUGGAGAAUUGGUUACAAUAUGCUUAUGUGGAAAAUCCGUUAGAAGAGACAUUAAUGAGCCAAACCCAAUACCUAACAUAAUCUCUCCUAAUUAAGGCCUGAUCCUAAUUCCUAACAUACCUACAAACCAAAUAGGGUGGAAUUCAAACUUUACUUCUUAAUUUGUCCAAAACUUAUUCUUUAGAAAUGUAACAUCGCUACCAAAAUAGCGAUGCCAUAUUCAAAACGAAAUUUUUCUCGUCUUUAAUGUUCACGGCAAGGAUAGAGAUAUCUUAAAUUAAUUUAAUCAAAGGUAGGUACUCGUGUGUAAGAAUAAUUGAGCGAUUUAUAUAUAUGUUGCGCAAGACUUGAACAAGUGAGCUCCAGCUCCACUGAAAAGGAAGCAAUUAACAAAUCAUGUAUUAGCUAACAGGAAAGCCAAGCCAACCAAUGUCUAAAUCCAAAAUAAUUACAAGAACAUUGUAAUUUAACAAAAUCAUAGUGGCACACAACAAAGUCGGUGCAAUCCAAAUAUGGACGCAAUAAUGAUCUAAAAGUUGUGAUGCCUGAAAGUUUAAAAACUCUUUAGACCGAUUAUGUAUAUCAAUUAAUAUCAAGGAUUACAACACAACGGAGAUAAUCCGAAAUUACCUAACUACCGACUGGCCUAUCAAGCAAAUCUCUAAAAGUAACUACAAAAUCACUUAAAAGUAGUAAAAUAGCAUAGCUUUAAAAAUCAUCCCAAAUUCCAACAUCAAAGUUUUAAAUUAAUGUCUUUGUAACUGCCACCACAAUCGAGGCCAAGUGCAUGUUUAAAUUGACAGUAAAUUUUAAAAGUGACGGUAACACCACAUUGUAAUUUAACAAAAUCAUAGUGGCACACAACAAAGUCGGUGCAAUCCAAAUAUGGACGCAAUAAUGAUCUAAAAGUUGUGAUGCCUGAAAGUUUAAAAACUCUUUAGACCGAUUAUGUAUAUCAAUUAAUAUCAAGGAUUACAACACAACGGAGACACUGCGAAAUUACCUAACUACCGACUGGCCUAUCAAGCAAAUUUAAGCUCCACUGAAUAUCUAUUUACCAAUUUUAUGCUAUUUUACUUUUUUCCCAAUUCCUUAUUGUGUACUUAAGAGAAAAUAAAUUAAAAAUCAGUUAGAAAGUGAGAACAAAAGAAGAGGGUCAAAUAAUUAUUGAACUGAAAUUAAAGCAUUGUAAAUUGAAAUUUUAGAUUAGCACUCAUAUCAGCUCAAAAUUAGAACAAAUUGUAAACCCACAACUUCAUUUAGUAAAUCGCGAAUGAAUGACACUUAACAAGCAAGAGUACCAAAAUAAAAAUUGAAAUCACAAAAUAAAAUGAUUUGGAUAGAGAAUAGAACUUACUUGCUAUUGCAAACCGUGAGAAACGAGAGAGAUGAAACCUCAUUCAACAAAUCGCAAAGUAAUGACACUUAACAAGUAAGAUUACCAAAAUAAAAAUUGAAAUCGCAAACUAAAAUGAUUCGGAAAGAGAAUACAACUUACUUGCUACUGCAAAUCGCGAAGUGAAACGAGAGAGAUGAAACCUCAUUCAACAAAUCGCAAAGUAAUGACACUUAACAAGUAAGAUUACCAAAAUAAAAAUUGAAAUCGCAAACUAAAAUGAUUCGGAAAGAGAAUACAACUUACUUGCUACUGCAAAUCGCGAAGUGAAACGAGAGAGAUGAAUUUAGGGUUGUUUAAAAUAAAAUUUACGGUUUUUGGGGAUUAGGGUUUGUUAAGACAGUAGAGAGAAAAGAGUUUUAGAAAUGCAAAGAAAAAGAAAAGGUUUCUAAGUGUUUUUCGAAGGCGAUGUGUAGUUGCAUUUUCAUUGUACAAGACCAAACGGGCAAAACCUACAUUUUUUAUGCAUUUAUUUUUUUUAUUUAUAAAAGAGUAUAAUAAUUUUAAAAACAGUGACACUCUAAUUGUAGCUAAAAGUAGCAUUAGUGACAGAUAAAAAAUCAUCACAAAAUCUGAGUGGCAGAAUAGAUUUUGUUUUUUUGUAGUGAUCAUGCAAGAAAUAGAUUAACACAUAAAUAAGAUUUAGAUCAAUAUAGUUUAGGGUACGAGCAAGGUCAAAGAUGAAAGAACAUUUGCAUAAAGAAUUAUCAGAGGUUGUGUGAUUGAAUUAAUAUCUAUGUUUCAUCAUACAAAAAAUAUAAUUAAGAGAAAACAUAAAAAACCAAGAGGUUGAAUGAUUGAAUGAUUAAUACCUAUGUUUCAUCAAACAAUAAUCCUAAUCUCAAUUAUCCUAUAUAUCUACCAUUAAAUUGUAGUUGGUCUGAAUUGAUUGAUUAAAGCAUGCAAAGGUAUGUCAUCCUGUAAAUAAAAUAAUAAAAUAAUUUAAUUGAAAUAAACAACAACCACCUUAGGAGAGAGCUUAAUUAUUCAUUGACUUGUCGAAAGUAAUAGAAGUGUUCAUCAAUCAAGGGAAAAUAAACAAAACCCUCAAAGAGUUUGAUUUUUUGCACUAAAAUUUGAGAUGUUUUACUCUAACUCCAAGCACUUUGCAGUUUCCAAAGUGUUUGUCAUUUUUUCUCUCUCUAGUUGCACAAAAUUCCAUAAGUGUACGGACUUGCCAAGUAGUAAUACAUAUUAUUAUCUUAUCCAUAGUGAUUAAUUUAACAACUAUCAAACUAUUCAAGAUUUUAUAUUAUUUAGACUAAUUAAAAUUAUUGUUGAUUCACGAUAAUGAAAUCGCAACGAUAACAUAAAAAUUAUAAUGAGAAUUUUAAAUUAAUGCAAAAUAAACAUAGGGUCAUAGUUUUACUUGUAAUAUCGAUACCUCAAGUUCUAGUUUUAUACGAAUUCUUAUAUAUUUUCUCAAUUAUCAAUUUCUCUUUAAAACUAUUAACAAAGAUCCGUCAUUCAAUGUUAUUAAUAGUUGAGAGUUAGAAGGAAUGUCAAGCAGAGAUCAAUGUCAAACAAAAUUUAAAUCAAUACAGUUUAGUAUACAAGCAAGGUUAAGUAUGUAAAGACAUUUGCAGAUCCUAUAACACCCUAAAUUUUAUAAUAAACUAUUUGAUUAAUUAAAUAGGAUUUUAAAUAAUUAAUUUGAUGUUAAAAUUAUUAUAAAAUAUAUAUUAAUAAAUUUUGUGAUUAACUUUCGUUAUAUGGAUGUUUUCUAUGAUGUGCUAGUUUGAUAUACAUUAUAUUAAAUGAGCGAUAUAAAUAAUAAAAUUUAUUUUAUUAUAUUAUAUAUUUUUUUAAAAGCAAUAGUAUUUUAGUCCAAUAUUUUGAAGAAUAAGCAUUUAUGUGAUUUUACGUGUAUAUUCGCGCACCCAAUUAAUAUAACAUUCUUUUAUGCGUUUGACUAAUAUUAAAUGUGUACUUAAUUAUAUUUAUUUAAUUCAAAAUAUAUUUUAUUUUAAUUAUUUAUUUUAUAAAUUAUUAUCUUGAGAUAGUGAUAAUAUUGUGUUUGAUUUUCUUUAUUUUUAUAUAUUUAUUAUGAUAUUGUGAUUAUAUAUAUAUAUAUAUAUAUAUAUAUAUAGUAUGAUUUAGUAAUUAAUAUAAAGUGUUGAUUUUAUAUUUAUUUAUUUUAUAAUUUUGACUAUUCUCUAAUGAUAUAUUAUUAUAACGUGAGUAUUUUGAAAAAUAAGUAUAAUUAUAGUGAUUAAUUUGAAUAUGAGAGUUUGAGUUGGAAAGGUUAAUUAAUAUGUAUUUUUUUAAAAGGUUAAUUAUUUUAAUUUCUCUAAUUUAUCAAGUAUUAUUUUUGAAAUAUUAGUAAUUAAAUUUUGUUAAGAAAAAUAACUUUGGAAAUUUUUGGUUUUAUUAAAAAAAAAAGAUUAAAUGUGUUUCAUGGGAUAAGCCAAGUAAAACCUAAUUAAAGAAUAAAACCAAACCAAAAAAUAGAGGAAGAGAAAGAUACGACACGACAGCUGCUGCUCCCAAGGGGAAUUGGAACAAAAUUAGAAGAAAAUUGACACCGGUGAUCGACAACUGUUCCAGAAAAGUUUCUCUGUUUUUGUCCAAAUUCAGUAUGUUAUUUUACUCAAUUAACUAGUCAAUUAAACACGAUUUUCCAUAUAUUUAACAACCCCAAUUUCUCUAUAAAAUAUUUUAUUUCUCCGUUUGUAGAAUUCGUUAUUUUGCAUCGUUCUCCUUCACCGUAUGUCCGAUUUGAGUGAAACCAACGCCAAAACGUCAGUGUGAAAAGUGGCUAUAUUAUCCACUGAUUUGUUUUCUGAUUCAUGGUGAUUUUCCUCGACCGAAUUUCGAAUUUAGUUUUUAGAGUAUCUUCUCAUAAUUUACUUUUAAUGUUUACCCAUAAAUUGUCGAGUUAGAUCAAUUGAUGGACAAAAAGUCAAUGAACAAAUGUUGUUUGCUCGUGGAAUCCUAUUCGUGUGUGAAAGCGUCGAAAUAAGGUAAGGGGUGAGAGAGCAUUUGAAUUAAUGAGUAUAAUAUAUUGUGAGCUGAACGGGAAAACCGUAUUUCCCAACGAUUCAUCCGGGGCUCGCUACGUACGGCAAUAUCCCUUUGAGUGAUAAAUUGAUUAAUGUAAAAAUAUGAUAAUUGUGAGAUUAAAAUAUGGAAUAGAAAUAUUUAUAACGUGUUAAUUGAUUUAACUCCGUUGAAUGUGUGGUAUUUGAUUUAUUUUUAUUAAAUGUGAGAUAUUUGCUAUUAUUGUGAUAUUGGAUGUCGCAUGAAUUUUAUGUAUAUGUUUGAUUAGACGUGUCUAUGUGAUGUGAUAAUAAAAAGUAAAUUCAUUUUGAUAAGUUAAUGUAAUUAUGAUGAUGUAUAAUUAAUAAUAAUGAUGUUAUAAAUUUGUGAUAAGUGUAUGUGAUGAUGUAUGGUUAAUGAUAGUGAUGCUAUAAAUUUGUGAUGAGUUAGUGUGAUUGAGAAUAGUCACAAUGACAAAUGAUAUAAAUUGUAAGUAAAGUUAACAUUAUCCUUUUUUUUUUAUCAUUGCCAUGGAAUUGAGAUUUUGCAAUUUAAUACAAAAGUUUAGGAAUUGAUAAAAUUAUACAGUAAUAUAAAAGUUUAUUAGUUUGAUAUAUAUAUAUAUAUAUUUUUAUUAUUAUUACAUUAAUUUUUAUUAUCUAAAAUUUUAUUUUAAAGAAAUUCAACAAAUAUAUGUUAACAGGGAGCUCCUAAUAUGAUCUCCAAUUUAUAGGGUCCACCUGUGUUACUCAAUCGUUACCAACUAUAAUAGUUUUUUCUUUCUUUCUUUUUUUAGAAUUUAAGAAAAAAAUCGGUUAUUUUAACUAGGAGGUAUUAUUAACAUUAUGCCUUUAUAUUUAAUCCAAAAAUCCUAAAAAUAAAAUAAAAAAAUGUUAAAAAAGAAGAAAAAAAAUUAAAAACACCAAGCUGAAUUUCCCUCCUCACCUUCGGUUGAAUUCAGAUAUUUUUUAAUAAUUUAUCUUUAACCAAAGUUUAUUAAUUAUUUGAGCUAUUAUUUGAUUAAGUGUCCAUUCUCUUUUAUACAUUGAACAUUGAUAUAAUUAAAACAAACACCUAUUUUAUUUUUUUUUAAAUUGUAAUAAAUAAAUAAAUUCCCGGUAAGAGUUUAGGAGACAAAUGUCAAAUCUCAUCUCAGAAAGUUGUAAAAUGACGAAUAUUUACACUUUGAUUAAUAAUAAUUUAUCCCUUCUCUUUUUAUUUAAAUAAAUAAAAUUAUAACAACUAAAUUAUAAAGGAUAAAAAGGGAUUUUUUUGUUAAAAUAAUAAAAGUAAAAUUAAUUAAAAAUAAUGAUAAAUUACAAAUUAAAAAGCUAGUUGAGGUAACAUAUUAAAAAAAUGCUUUAAGUUAGUAAAAUAAUUAUAAACUUAUAAUGAUUAACAAAUAAAUAUUUUUUUAAUAUGAUUUAAUAAGUUAACUUAUUUGUCAGCAGACUCUUAACUUUUAUACUUCGGAAAUUUCUAAGAACAGACUUAUAGUAUUUAAAACAAGAGUUGAGAUUAUAAAGAUGGUCCAAAUUUUUUACCCCUUAAAAAUUUGAAACAUAAUUUAUUCACAUUUAAAAAAGAAACAAAAUGUAAAAUUUUAGCAUUAGUCUUAAUGUAAGCUAAACAAACCUUAAAUCUUAAUAAAAACAAAGCGGAGAAGUGUAGGUUUUAAUGUUCUGAAUUUUUUAAAUUAGAAAGUUUCGUUAGUGUUAGUCUUAGUGUAGCUUAAGUAAACGCUGACUCUAAAAUAAAAAUAAAAUAAAAUAAAAAAUUAGAGACGAAAUUUAAUUUUAAAGUUUUCACUUUUUAAAACACUAGAAUACCAGAUUUUUGUAACAUUUUAAAAAGUUUGAAUUUUUUUUCCACAUUUAUAUAAAUGGGGUUAAAAAAUUUGAAUUUUUUUUCCAUAUUUAUAAAAAUGGGGCAGCAGACAUAUAAUUUUGGUUGGUUUUUGGGUAUAUAAUUUUUUUUGAAAUCUCCAAUUUUAAGUAAAUAGAGUCUUAAUAUCUGAAGUUCACAUAAUAGAUAAAUAGAAUUUAACAAAAGAAAUUAUUUUAAUUUUAAAACUCAAAUUUUCAUGAAUAAUUUAUUAUGAAUUGAAAUUAAAUGCAACAGAACUAAAAAAAUAUAAAGAAAUUAAAUGCAACAGAACUAAAAAAAAUUAAAUGCAUGCGAAAAAGAUUUAGUAGUCAACGGUAAAAAAAAAGAUUUGAUUUUUUCGGUUUUGAAGAUUUGAUUUGAUUAUUAACCUUAUAAAAACAGAGCCAACACACUCCAAACAUAUAGUGAAUUGAAUUGAACAUUGUUAUUCUUGUUCCAUUUUCUUUUGUUUGUUCUCCAUACACAUAACACAAUGAGUUCUUUAUCGGUAAUGAAUUUGGAGAAUACUAAACAACCUCGUAAGCGACUUAUAAUCAAGUUUUCUUCUCAAAAGAAUCAUUCUCAAGGAGAUAUUAAGAUGGAACAUUCCAAGCCAAUUGUUACAUGUUUCUGGCUUGACGCUAAAGAUUCAACAGCUAUUAUGUCUCAACAAAACAACAACACAACAACCGAUUCUGUCAAAGAUUCAAAACCCAUCUUGUCUAAAGAAGUUGGUGUGCAAGUAAUGAAGGAUUCUUGUUCCAAGAAGAUUAUCAAUGAAACAAGAAACCCAAGAACCGAAAAUUGUUGCUUGAAGACUGAUGGCGGUGAGAUCAUGAAUGAAAAGAGAAAGAAGCCGAUGCAACAUUACAAGAAGAUGCAAUGUUGGGUGAUUUUGAAGAGGAUUUUGAUUGGAAGAGAUAGCUGGCCUCUAAAAGACCCUAUUGAUCUCAAGUUCUUGAAGGCUUUUCAUGACAAGGAUAAUUUAGAGAACAAGUCUAAAUUGAAGACUAUGGGUUUGAAGAAUAUUGAAUCUAAAUUGCAAUUCUAUUCAACACCCGAUGAAUUUGCUACUGACAUCAGAUUUGUAUUCUCUCAAAGAAUGUUAUUAUAUCCUCCUAGAAAUGAGGUUCAUAAAAUUGCGUUAAAGUUUAGUGAAUAUUUUGAAAACAAAUGGAAGUCUCUCAAAAAAGAUUGGGACCUUGAGGAAAGAAAAAUAAACAAGAGAAAAAGGGAUGAACAUGCUCAUGAGAUGAAAGACUUCUUCCAAACCAAAAGGUCAAGAUAAGAUAUGCAAGACAACAACCCGUUUCUUUUGCAUGUUGCCAUCGUCACUUUAGUAUUAACACUGCUAUGUAUAUACUAGAUAUUUUGUCAAUUUUCACAACAUAUUGUUAUUGUUCUUAUUCUUGUAUUUGUGUCCAAUUGGCAAUACAAAACAUAUUGUUCUUAUUCUUGUAUUUCUGUCUAAUUGGCAAUACAAAACAUGAUUUUGCUACUUUUCUCUCUUUAUUACAUGUGUGUUUAAAGUUUAAUAUCAAUUACAAUUGUGUUUAAUGUUAAAUCUUAUUUUUUUUUUAAACUUUUCGUUAGAAUGAUCUAACUUUGUUACAAAAUUUAAAAUAGUUAGAAGUAACUUAAAUUCAAUUUUUUUUUCUAAGUAUGUUGACUAUCGAUAACCUGUUGCUUAUUUUUUAAAGAUAAUAUUGAUGGUUUAAAAAUAACAUAAUUAAUGAAAUAAAUAACAUUUUUCAUUUAUUUAUUUUAUAUUUUAUAUUAAAUUUAUUUGUUAUACAUUGUCUUAGUAAAAAAUAAUUUCGUGCAGAGCCAAUUUAGAAAAUUUUACAUUAUCAUCACAUCACAAUAUUUAUAGACAUGAUUUUAGAGCUAGUUAUGAAAAAAAUCAAACACAUCUAAUAAAUGUGAUUGACAGAUAACGUAACAACUUUGUACACUAAAUAUGUAUAUAAUUAAAUCCUAGAUUCUCGUUAUUUUUUGUUGAAAUUAUUAAAAAUAAAUAUUUUUUUAUGGGAAUAUUAUUUUGAUAUUGAAACAUAAUUUAAGAACCAAUUCAAAUGCAGUAAUCUUUUCAGAGAAACAUUCACUAAUUUAAAGACUAAGUCAAAUACAAGCGAGCUUCUUUACAUAACAUUAUCUAGUUGAAGAGUUUUACUAUUUUUUUUUUCUUUCUUACAUUAACAAUUAUUUUUACAAAUAAAAUGGUUAUUGCCAGCUUUUAUAGUUUAAGAAAGAUCAUUUCAUACCAAAAAAUAUCAUUUCAUUGUUUAUAACCAUUAUAAAAAAAAUUUAUAUUCGAUCGUAAUAAAUAUUCAACAUUUGACAAUUAUGAGCAAUAAAAAAUCUAAAAAAAAAAUAUAUUUUAUUGACAUUAAUAGAAAAUACUCAAUUAUUUCAAUAUUUAAACGAUAAAAUAUAAUUUUUUUUUAAAAAUUCAUUUUAUUUAAAAACCAAAUGUACCCACCCGUACAUGUCAAAUUGACAAUCGGAUCUACUGUCAACUUAAAAGAGGCGUUUAACUAUGCCUUUGGAACUAUCACUAAAUGUUUUCGAUUUGUAUCUAGAAUAAUGACUGUCACUAAAAACUAAAUAAAUAUAAAUAAAUAUAAAUAAAGAAUUGAUAUAUUUCUACGGUAUUGUCUUUCACUAAAAACUAGAUAAAUAUAAAUAAAAAACCUAUCUAUUUCUAUGGUAUUAUCUGUCACUAAAAACUAAAUAAAUAUAAUAAAGAAUUGAUCUAUUCCUACAAUAUUUGAGGCGUGAUUGUGAAAAAUAAAAGAACAAUAAUAUCCUCGAUAUUUUAUCUAACUACAAAAAAAUAUAUCUCACCCUUAAACUUUUUUCUAGUUAGAGGCCCCACAUGAGUUCCUCCACUCGUUUUUCAAGUUUAUCAUUCCCUUCUUUAUGUGCGUCAAUUUUUCUUACAGCCUAAAGCAAAUGGAAACAGAUAUCAACUGAGAGUAGAGAGAAACACAAAAAUCAUAAAUAAAUAAAAAAUGAGACUGCUUAAAUAUUAAUUGAUGAGUCAUAUAGAAGCAACUUAAUUUUUAUAUAUGAGGUUCCUAAGUUUGGAACUUUCUAUUUUCAGGUUCCUAAGUUCUUUUCUGGCUACACACCAUCUCUAUCGGCAUUGUGUUAGAAUUGAACCUUUCUUCAGCCUCUUAUAAUAUGAGGAAGACUUGUAGCAUUGCUAGCGAGCUUGAAAUUUUUGAGAGAGAAUUUAAACAUUGAAUGCAUAUGUCCUUAACAAAUGGUCAUAAUCCUACAAGAGUCAACUAUAACCUAAAUUGUGAUGAAGCUUUAGUCCGUUUCCUAAAAUUGAACUCUUUAUGGGCAGCGAUUGCCCUCAAAGCUGUUUGAAAAAAGUUAAAGAAGAAACUGUUGACCACAGUAACGAUCAUUAACAUUUUAAGAAACUAUGAAUUGUGGCUUCCUUCCUAUGUUUCUGCAAUAAAACUUCCCUACUGGACAAGCUAUAGACAUUGAACUUCAUUGAUUCAAACAUCUAUUUAAUACUAUUUAUUAUUGAGUAGAUUCAAUCUGAAAAUUUUCAUAAAAUUUAAAAAAUAUUUGAUACUACAAUAUGAUAGCAUACAUAGCAGGUUCAUCAGUGCCAUCAGGGCAAUCACAGAAAUUAUCGUUAAGACGGUCAAUGGAGAAGGCUUUUGAUCCAUCCUUACAUUUGAUGAGGUGAGAGGUAUAAUAUUAAUACAGUGGGUAGAACUAGGGAAGUAAACAAAUAAAUAUUAAUAAGAGAUGGGGGUAUACAAUGUGCAGGGUAAAUGAAUAUGCAAUUGCAAGCAAUGGACCAAUUUUAGGGACUUACAUAUAGAAAAUACGUCAAACAUACCUUAAGUUAAAUGCAAUACUUAAUUCAUAAAUUCUAAUAAUCUUGAAAUUCUAACAGUAUUAAACAUAUGAUCCUUUACAUACUUGUUCCAUAUCAAAUUCUUCAAAUGUAGGAAUUCUAAUUUCCUGAACAGCCACCAGAAAGUUUCUAACGUUUUCAAAAUACUGAAAUGCUGAUAAUGACUCUCCAACCUAUAAAGAAUAAUACAUAAUUUACAUAACUAAACAAAUAAUAACCAAAAACAUAGAGUAAAUAAAAUAAGGAACAUCCAAACUGACAUUGAAUACAUCACCUAGUUGAACUUUGUUAAGAACAUUACAAAGAAUGAUCCCACUCCUCAAACAAAGCCUAAACUCUUCCUUAUAAGUCUCUACGGGUAAAUGUUUAGCUGCAACAACUCCAACCAUUUUUCUCAACCACCAUGCUGCUUCAUAUCUUCUAAAUGUUUCAUUUUAUAGAAUUUAUUUUUCAGUCUCAAAAUAGCUGAUACAAAUUCCAAAUAUCUUUUUAAUAUAAUAUUGACAAAUAUCAACCUUCAUUAAAAUCAAUAUCAUAUAGAAAAGGAUGAUAAUUUGAGACAUUAAUGAAAAAAAACUGAAAACUGAUUAUUCCUAGGAAAUUACCAGCUUAUUCCACUUUUCUAGAUUCCAAAUCAAGAUAUUUGAGGCGAGUACCGUGUUGUUGAAGCACAUCUUCAACCACAGAAGCAACUGAAAACGACAAUGUUACCAAUUCAAGAAAGAAGCAUAUUGAUUCUAUAAUCUAUAACAUUUCCCAUUUUCUCUGUACAAACUGGUACUCCAACUCCACUAACACAACUACCUCUUUCUAUCUCUAUCUAUCUGCUUUACAGUAUACAAUACUCCCCAUUACUCUUCCUUGCUUUGGUUCUCUCCUUACGUCAUGCUUCGACUCCAAACCUCAUUAGCAAUCUAACCUUUCAGAUCCUAUGGAGUCUGAACAGAGACAUCACUCCACAUCUUAUAUUUAUGAACUCUUGUGCUGAUAAAUAGGCCAACAUCGAUAAAGGUGGCCCCAUCACUAUUUGAUUCCUUAGAAAAGGCAUGCGACCUGUCUGCCGCAUUGGGGGUGUAGUUCUCUCAAAUAAUCAAUAAUCUAUGUUAGG
rnacentral:lncRNA from 1 species